GAAGCCCGCCAGACCGCCGCUGGUGCAAGUUGGGAAACCACGCACUGGAGGAACGUCCGGACUGCACAGGGCAGCGCAGGAGCUAACGGCUCUCCACCGUGAGGUGAGGAUCAGAGCAACAGAGACGAGCCUAUUAAGUUAGGGUGAAACGGGCAAUCUCUGCGCGCAGCAACACCAAGUAGGCCAGCGUUGACUUGACCCGAGGAGCUGGCGGGUAGGUGGCACCGAGCCGGGUGGGCGACCCCCGGCCCAGAUUGAUGGCGGUCACGUUGUGGGCCUCGCAAGAGGCUCCCGACGCACAGAAUCCGGCGUAUCGGCGGGCUUCACAU
rnacentral:RNase_P_RNA from 1 species